rnacentral:rRNA from 1 species
AUUGAACGCUAGCGGGAUGCCUUACACAUGCAAGUCGAACGGAGUUGCGAACGGGUGAGUAAUGUAUCGGAACGUGCCCAGUAGCGGGGGAUAACUACGCGAAAGCGUAGCUAAUACCGCAUACUAUUGAAGCGGCCGAUAUCGGAUUAGCUAGUUGGUGGGGUAACGGCUCACCAAGGCGACGAUCCGUAGCUGGUUUGAGGGGACGACCAGCCACACUGGGACUGAGACACGGCCCAGACUCCUACGGGAGGCAGCAGGGGGGAAUUUUGGGCAAUGGGCGAAACCCUGAUCCAGCAAUGCCGCGUGUGCGAUGAAGGCCUUCGGGUUGUAAAGCACUUUUGGCAGGAAAGCGGUACCUGCAGAAUAAGCACCGGCUAACUACGUGCCAGCAGCCGCGGUAAUUC